CAGUUCAUCCUCUCCCUUCUUCUUCCCUGGCAUAUGUCUCCACACUCUGAUAUUGCUAUCUGCCUUCUGUCUAUCUCCCACCUGAUAGGGGAUUUCCUGUGUGGUGUGCAGCCUUUAUUGUGCCAGACAUAUUGCCAACUCAUGCAACUUUAGUCCGAGCCUCGUGAUUGCUGGAAGUAUUCACAGAGACCAAACGCUGGACCAUAAAACUUAGAAAGAAUCUCAGCUUUCUUUUAAGAAAAAAAAAGAUCCUAGACCCCAUGCUUGUAGAAGAAAGAUUGCAAAAGCUGAAGACUACAAAUCCAAAAGCAGAUGGUAUCUCUGGAUGACUGUGCAGAGACACCAGACUCUGGCAGUAAUGAGUUUCAUAGGGAGGGUUUUCCUAGCUGAAGGAUAACCAUUAUUCCAGCUUUGACUGCUGAUGUCCUAGAAGCACAGAGGUAACCAGUUCAGAAAUCAUUCCCCUGCACUCUGUUUUCACACAUUGGAUUGCUCUCACCAUCAUCCGCUGGAAUGGCAACUUUUCAACAAAUGCUCCUAGACUGAGGCUCGGGAAGGGAAAAUCAAUUUUCAGUAUCAAGCAGGACUGGCUACUGAUGACUGAGCUUCAGGAAAUUUGUUGAUGACGCCUGUGUCCCACUCCUAUUGCAGUCCACUUUUUCCUCAGAAACAGGACAGGCUGAUGUUGCCAUUACACACCUUCUUUCAGAAGUCCCAGCAUUAGUCUAUGGAUUAGCAACUACUGAACUCAAGAAGAACAGUCCAUGUUAUACUUGUCUUCAAGACCAAGCAAUCUAAAUUUCAGAGUGAUUUGGAUCAGGCCUUCAAGAGACAUUACGUGUUACAAAUUAACCAUGUGGUAUGUAUCACUGGAACACCCUUGAGUCUGCAGUCAUGGCCUAGUGUCCUUUCAGUUCACAUGCAAUGAACCCUGGCUCUUCUGCUGAGUACAGUUUUACCUGUUAUGUGGAUGUCGAUUUGCUUCUCCCACAGCACUAUAAAUGAUAGCAGAUUAAGGUCUUUAUGAUGAUGUAGAAAAAUUUUUAAUAUGUCAAUUGAUAGUCAAGUUGGAAAAUUGGGCUAUUUCCAAGCUUGGAUUUUGGCUGCAUGAGAAAAUUGGUUUAGAAACUGAUUUUGUUAAAUCACUGCAACACCCUGAUGCAGAGAUGUAUUUGAGGUUUCAUAAUGACUUAGUUUAAACUGGUAAGGAAUCAGCUUAAGCUACAUUUACCCAAAGCACCCUUACACAAAACACCAGUAAAUUGCAUGAUGACGCUAAUGGUCUCAAUAUACUAAAGACUGUGUUGAUCUAUUAAGUGCAUUUCUAAACCUACUUAAUUGUACCAUCUUGUGCAGCGAGUGCUUGUGUACAUGUAUGUUUAUAUAGGUAUUCUCUGCAGAAUACAGAACAUUAGCCUCCUUCAUCUGUGCAAUUGUGAGUGCCAGCUAACUGGUGAAAAAUCUUGUCAUUAGGACUGGGAUGGGAAGGAUAUUCUCUUUUUCUGUGGAGAGGGCACUGGAUUUCGCUAGUUACAAAAUUAAACAGACUUAAUGUAUUAUAGUUGCAAAAAAAAAAAAAU